AGAGUUUGAUCCUGGCUCAGGAUGAACGCUAGCUACAGGCUUAACACAUGCAAGUCGAGGGGCAGCAUGGAAGUUUGCUUGCAAACUUUUGAUGGCGACCGGCGCACGGGUGAGUAACACGUAUCCAACCUGCCUCAUACUCGGGGAUAGCCUUUCGAAAGAAAGAUUAAUACCCGAUGUCAUAGUCCUACCGCAUGAUGGGAUUAUUAAAGAAUUUCGGUAUGGGAUGGGGAUGCGUUCCAUUAGUUAGUUGGCGGGGUAACGGCCCACCAAGACAACGAUGGAUAGGGGUUCUGAGAGGAAGGUCCCCCACAUUGGAACUGAGACACGGUCCAAACUCCUACGGGAGGCAGCAGUGAGGAAUAUUGGUCAAUGGACGAGAGUCUGAACCAGCCAAGUAGCGUGAAGGAUGACUGCCCUAUGGGUUGUAAACUUCUCUUAUAUGGGAAUAAAAUGUUCCACGUGUGGGAUUUUGUAUGUACCAUAUGAAUAAGGAUCGGCUAACUCCGUGCCAGCAGCCGCGGUAAUACGGAGGAUCCGAGCGUUAUCCGGAUUUAUUGGGUUUAAAGGGAGCGUAGGUGGAUUGUUAAGUCAGUUGUGAAAGUUUGCGGCUCAACCGUAAAAUUGCAGUUGAAACUGGCAGUCUUGAGUACAGUAGAGGUGGGCGGAAUUCGUGGUGUAGCGGUGAAAUGCUUAGAUAUCACGAAGAACUCCGAUUGCGAAGGCAGCUCACUGGACUGCAACUGACACUGAGGCUCGAAAGUGUGGGUAUCAAACAGGAUUAGAUACCCUGGUAGUCCACACAGUAAACGAUGAAUACUCGCUGUUUGCGAUAUACGGCAAGCGGCCAAGCGAAAGCAUUAAGUAUUCCACCUGGGGAGUACGCCGGCAACGGUGAAACUCAAAGGAAUUGACGGGGGCCCGCACAAGCAGUGGAGUAUGUGGUUUAAUUCGAAGCAACGCGAAGAACCUUACCAGGUCUUGACAUCGUAUGCAUAGCCUAGAGAUAGGUGAAAUCCCUUCGGGGACAUAUAGACAGGUGGUGCAUGGUUGUCGUCAGCUCGUGUCGUGAGAUGUUGGGUUAAGUCCCGCAACGAGCGCAACCCUUACCUUUAGUUGCUACGCAAGAGCACUCUAGAGGGACUGCCGUUGACAAAACGGAGGAAGGUGGGGAUGACGUCAAAUCAUCAUGCCCCUUAUGACCUGGGCUACACACGUACUACAAUGGCAAUUAAAAGAGGGAAGCAAAACAGCGAUGUGGAGCAAAUCCCGAAAAAUUGUCCCAGUUCAGAUUGCAGGCUGAAACUCGCAAGCAUGAAGUCGGAAUUGCUAGUAAUCGCAGAUCAGAAUGCUGCGGUGAAUACGUUCCCGGGCCUUGCACUCACGGCCCGUCAAG
rnacentral:rRNA from 1 species